rnacentral:rRNA from 1 species
AUUGAACGCUGGCGGGAGGCCUAACACAUGCAAGUCGAACGAGUGGCGGACGGGUGAGAAAUGUCUGGGAAACUGCCUGAAGGAGGGGGAUAACAAACGGAAACGGUAGCUAAUACGGCAAAACAUCAGAUGUGCCCAGAUGGGAUUAGCUGGUUGGUGGGGGAACGGCUCCCCAAGGCGACGAUCCCUAGCUGGUCUGAGAGGAUGACCAGCCACACUGGAAUUUAGACACGGUCCAGACUCCGCCGGGAGGCAGCAGUGUGGAAUAUUGCACACAGGGCGCGAUCUGUAUGCAGCCAUGCCGCUUUUAUGAUGAAGGCCCUCGGGUUGUAACUUACUUUCAGCUUGUAUGCGUUACCCGCAGAAGAAUCACAGCCUAACUCCGUGCCAGCAGCCGCGGUAAUUC